rnacentral:rRNA from 1 species
UACGUAGGUGGCGAGCGUUGUCCGGAUUUACUGGGCGUAAAGAGCGCGCAGGCGGCUGGUCAAGUCCGAUGUGAAAGCUCCCGGCUUAACUGGGAAAUUGCAUCGGAAACUGAUCGGCUGGAAGGUGGGAGAGGGUAGCGGAAUUCCCGGUGUAGUGGUGAAAUGCGUAGAUAUCGUUUGGAACGCCAAUGGUGAAAACAGGUUGCUGGGAGUGUGCUGACGCUGAGACACGAAAGCCAGGGGAGCGAACGGG